rnacentral:lncRNA from 1 species
AAAAUAAUUUUGGUCAUCAUAAUUUUAAUUUUUCAAUUUUGAAUACUGUAUUUGCAAUAGUUAGCAAAUCAUGUCAAAUGCCACAAUUCAGUUAGUUUCAUUAAUUAAAAAAUAAUUACUUCAAUAUAAAAUUUAAUAUUUCAAACAAAUUUAGAUAUUAAAAUUUUCAGUUGUUAAUUAAUUUGAAAAUAAAUAUUUUUCUUUUGUCCAUGUGGACGUCCAUUGCAUCAAAAAAUGCCACAUCAGC